rnacentral:rRNA from 1 species
ACGGAGGAUGCGAGCGUUAUCCGGAUUUAUUGGGUUUAAAGGGUGCGUAGGUGGACUGUUUAGUCAGUGGUGAAAUGCUGAUGCUCAACGUUAGCAUUGCCGUUGAAACUGACAGUCUUGAGAGUGAUUGAGGCAGGCGGAAUGUGUGGUGUAGCGGGGAAAUAAAAACAUAUCACGAAGAACCCCGAUCGGGGGGUCAUCUAGCAAAGCCACAACUGACACUGAAGCACGAAAGCGUGGGGAUCAAACAG